rnacentral:rRNA from 1 species
GAACGGUGAACUCCUUCGGGAGGGGAUCAGUGGCGAACGGGUGAGUAACACGUGAGCAACCUGCCCCUAGUUCUGGGAUAACUCCGGGAAACCGGUGCUAAUACCGGAUACGAGACCAAGCGGCAUCACAAGGUCUGGAAAGUUUUUCCGACUAGGGAUGGGCUCGCUGGCCUAUCAGCUUGUUGGUGAGGUAACGGCCCACCAAGGCGACGAGCGGGUAGCCGGCCUGAGAGGGCGACCGGCCACACUGGGACUGAGACACGGCCCAGACUCCAUACGGGAGGCAGCAGUGGGGAAUAUUGCGCAAUGGGCGAAAGCCUGACGCAGCGACGCCGCGUGAGGGAUGAAGGCCUUCGGGUUGUAAAGCUCUUUCGGCAGGAACGAAAUGGUUCGUGCUAAUACCACGGACUGAUGACGGUACCUGAAGAAGAAGCACCGGUAACUACGUGCCAGCAGCCGCGGUAAUACGUAGGGUGCAGGCGUUAAUCGGAAUUACUGGGCGUAAAGCGUGCGCAGGCGGUUUCUUAAGUCCGCAUGUGAAAGCCCCGGGCUU